CCAGACCUCAUUUAAGGGUUGGCAGUAGAGAUGAGGGUGCCUUGUUGGAGAUUUCUGUGUACCUGGGACCCUCUGAAGGCAUAUUGCUCUCUGAGGCUUUCACUAAGUUGCUUUGAUUGCUGCAGUAUGUGGAACUCCUUCUCACCACCUUUUCACCUAGGAAAGGAGAGUCUUUGUGGAUAAUAGUAAGGCUGCAAUAUCUCCUGGCUGCUGGAGUUGUGGCUAUUGGCUGACAGGGACCAUCAGAGCAGCAUCUGCCAGAGCUUCAGUUGUCCCACCUCCUCCAUACUCAUCCAGAGGACAGUAUUUACAAGCAGUAUUUCCCAGUGACAAUUACUCCCUUUAUUUAUUGCUCCUCUCUCAUCUCCCUGUGGCAUCACCAGUUCUAUAGAAGCUACCAUAACAAUGAUACCCUGACCACAAUGGGCACAGGAAAGCACAGUAGAACAGUCAGGUUGCUUUCACCCACAAGGCAGAAAUUUCAAGGAAAUCUAAUCCUCACACACUUUCUCUUGAAAAGAGAUCCACUGGCAAAUUACUUCUGCUUUUAGAUAGACUUAGAAGCUCCCAUUUGCUUAUCUGGUUAACACUGUCAGUCACUUAUACUGAGACACCAGGAAAUCUGAUUCCCACUCAUGGUGUGAGAGCAACCUGUAGGCGCUUGACCUUUUUAAUGUUCUGUAAUUUGAUUGGGUGGCUGUUCCAUAUUUCCUUGUCAUAGCCCUCGUAAUCUGAGAGGGCAAAGUGGAAAAGACAGCCAGUAAAGAUACAAGCAAUCACAAGCGGGAAUUUGUUGAGGCCUCAGGUUUCCAAAAUUACUCAAAGCAUCUUCCUCAUGGAGAGCGUGGAUGAAGUGUGGCUUGGCUCUGCAACCUGGAAAUGGCCCCUACAGGAGCCCUGUGCUCACAGAGUGGCUGCUUGGCCAAAAUUCGGUGCAAAGGCCAGUGUUGACUUAUGCCAUGUGAAGAUUUGUGCUUUUUCUGAGACAACAGUGCAGAAGUUCAAUUCUUCAGGAUAUGUGUCCUAGAGAAACAGCCAGCAAGUGUUCAGCUGUGUGUUUAUAAAGUACCUUGGCAAAACUGGUCUUCCAAGUGCCUAAGGAUCUGUAAUUUUAAUCACUAGGGUGUAAUCGAGCCAAUAUUCUAUGAGGAUUAUAUCCAGGGAUGUUUCUGCUCAGCACAGGGUGUUGAAUGCAAACAUUUCAGUUAAACCCUCUCUGAUAAUCUUAAUAUUCCAGUUCUGGGGAUCCCAAUCAUCCUCAAAUUCUAUUUUAGGAUCCUAUCACCCAGAUUAUCUUUUGAGGAGAUACCAAGUUUUGCAGCAUUGCAUCCUUUCACUGUUCUCUGCCAAUAAUUGCCUCUUUCAGUGACAGAACUUCCCAAAUUAUUUUGAAGAACUCUUUUCUGAAAAAAUCAUUAUACCCCAGGAAAUCCAGCUUAAAGGAUUCUAGGAGAUGGGCUCCAAAUUAGGCUAAGACUUCAUAUGCUUGCAAUAUCUCAUGUUGAUAUUCUGCUCUCCUGAAGCUAAAGGUGAUGCUGCUUAUUUCCAUGCACAUGUAUACACACGAACUGCAGCUGAACACCCAGAUCCCUCUGAGAAUUAUAGGAUAUUGGACAAUUUCAGCUCUCUCAGCCUUGGGUGAUGCCUGACCUGCCAGUACCUCCAUAUCAGUGCUGCCAAUGAAGAAAGGGGAAGUGAUCAAUUCUCAUUGAAAUCAGCACCAUAUAGUUUUUGGACUGGAGCCACAGCUGGUGUUACCCUGCCUGAAGAUCUGUUCCUGCUCCUCUAAUUGCUCUGUGUCUGAAAACAUUUCAUGGAAAAGUAAAGCAAAGUUCAGGACUUAUCAUGUGCAAUAGAGCAUAAUAUGGUGAUCUAUGGGUGCUUAGGAGUCUUUCCACUGACUUCAGGGCUGUGGCUCAAACCUUUGAUCAGCAAAGUGGGACCAGUGCAGAGACAGGGAAGUUCUCCUGUGCUCUUGGCCCCAUGGAUCCCCUUUGAGCUUGUUUGAGUCAAACCUCAAUUUCCAUGGCUGUAAAAGAGUGAUAAGACUAUUUAUUGCAAGAUGCCUGAGUGCAGAGAGUGCCAAGGAUCAUCCUGACUAGGUGAUGUCACAGGGGAAGAAGUUGCAUAUAAUAAAACAUUGUUUUUCACAUGGGUUCACUUGGGUUGCAAGCUGCAAGUACAAGCUUGGGGGUUUACCCUUUGUUGUGUGAUUCUUACGUAAAUAAAAGAGUGUUAGAUCACUGUGUUCUA